AAUUAGAACCACCAUAUUUACUUUUGAUUCAAACCUGAAAAAUCAAAUCAAUUGUUCAUACGUUACAAGAAUAAAAGAUACCCAUUAACAACAACAUUAUUUCUGCUUACCAAUCCUUAAAUGUUGGGCUAUAUAAACCCUCAAAAUUUUUACUUUGCACAGGUUCCCAGUGGUUGCCAGUCUCCCUCUUCUCUAUCAAGGUUCAUUAGUUCAAGUUGUUGUUGUGAACUAUAGAUUCGUAGAAAAACCAACAUCGGUCUCAGGUAAUGUAAUUGAGUUCCAAAAAAUGAGUUAGAUUUUAUGGAUGCGGAUGAUGUCGUCACGAUGGAUGACAAUUAAAAUUGGCAACGGUUCAUAAUACGUAUAUUUUUUUUCGAGUACAAUGGGCAAGGGUUCAUGAUAAACCAAGGCAAAAUUACUGUUUCCACGGAGGAAACAAUCACUUCAAGGAAAUUGUUUGGGAUGAUUAUCCAUUGUUCUAAGUUGGAUACUGAAGACAUAUAUCUAAAGUGACCAGUUUCAUAGUGAUCAUGUGGUUUUUAACAUCUUCAUUUAUGCAUGCCGAGAUUGUCAAGAAAUGCAGCCAUUACAGUUAAUAGAUUAGCGAGGUAUAUGUGUCUGUUCACCGAGCUUUCCUUUUUAAUUAUGGUAAGUUAUGGAGGUAUCUUCAACUAUCAGUCGGUCUAGAUUCUUAUUAAAGAAGAAAAUUCUCCUUUUUUGCUUUUUUGGUCACCACUCUAGUGGAGAUGAGAUAAUUAAUUAGUUAUAGCCACAAAUGAAAGAGGUCAUGGAAGACAGGUAGCUAUUUACACAUAUGAAAAUAAUUCCCGAUACACUUAAAGAGAGGUUGUUGUUUGUUUGUGUAAUGGUUAGUAUAGCUCUGGAUAUUCAUAUACUCCAAUGACCCCAAGCUAAAAUUUAAUUUUCGAUUAGCGGGAAAUAAUUCAAACAACCAGGACGUGGUGCUACACCUAUGAUCACACUUGAUGCGGAAGUGGUGGUAGAGCUGGAGGAAAAAUGGCAAGAGUUGGGAAUUUCAACACCUUCAACAGGUUGUGGGCUUUAGUAAAUGUCGGAGGCAAUGUGGGUUUUCUUUCACCAUUUCCUAUUCAAGAGAUAAAUUGCAAAACGGUUUCCCCAAAAACAUCCCAUUUGGAAGUUUAAUAAUAAGCAAAUCGGAGAAGAGAGUUUGUAUUCUCUAGACAAAGUGCAUUUGAGCCUUCACUAACCUAAUUUCCAUCCAACCAACAGUGAUCGGAACACAGCUGUUUACUCUAUGGAUGCCUACGUACGCUACGUCCAUUCCCUUACAAAUUCUGCUUCACCCAGUCAGAAGACUUGGAGUUGAAAAUGCAAUAUCUAUCUUGCCAGUUUGAAGACAAGGAGUUGAUACCUAAGUUAUGUUAUAUUCAAGUUCACAAUCGAUUCUAAACCCACGCCACUGCCAUCAGCCAUGUUACUCGGCAAUAAAUUUUGCUAACAAAUGCAAGUUUUUCUUAUUUAGUUUGCUCGCAAAAAAGAAAAGGAAAAAAAGUGCAUAAGAUUUGUAUGUUUUCUAAACUAACUUUAAAUGAUCAAUUAUCAAUAUCUUGAUCAGUUCCUCGA